AGUGGCGCACGGGUGAGUAACACGUGGGUAACCUGCCCUUGAGUGGGGGAUAACCUUCCGAAAGGAGGGCUAAUACCGCAUAAGACCACGUCCAGUACGCUGGAUGGGGUCAAAGCUGGCCUCUUCAUGAAAGCUAGCGCUUAGGGAUGGGCCCGCGUCCCAUCAGGUAGUUGGUGGGGUAAUGGCCUACCAAGCCUUAGACGGGUAACUGGUCUGAGAGGAUGAUCAGUCACACUGGAACUGAGACACGGUCCAGACUCCUACGGGAGGCAGCAGUGGGGAAUCUUGCGCAAUGGGCGAAAGCCUGACGCAGCGACGCCGCGUGGGUGAUGAAGGCCUUCGGGUUGUAAAGCCCUGUGGGAAGGGACGAAUAAGUGCAAUCGAAUACAUUGCAUGAUGACGGUACCUACUUAGCAAGCACCGGCUAACUCUGUGCCAGCAGCCGCGGUAAGACAGAGGGUGCAAACGUUGUUCGGAAUUACUGGGCGUAAAGCGCGUGUAGGCGG
rnacentral:rRNA from 1 species